CUUCUCCUCCUCCUCACUGAAAAGGCAUCCGGUCUUUACCUGUUUAGGGAGACCUUUAUCCAACAUGACAGGAGCAAAGGAGCAACGAGGCGCAGGGGUCUAUCAGACCCCGUAGGGUCAGAAGUCAUAAAUGGGAGGCAACUUCUCUUCCUACGUAAGACAGGCUUUUCAAACAGAUGAGGGAAAUGUACAAGACAGACAGGUCAUGAUCUGGACGGCAGAAACUAAAAUGGUGGCAGAGGGGGGCGGCGGCCAAAUCGGCAGGUGUCAGUCACGGCUGAGGGACAGGACUGUGAAAGAGAGAGAGCGUGCUCAUCUAAACGGAUGCCGGAGGGGGGGGCAUGGCCUGGCCGCUCCUGUGGGGGGCGGGAAUAGGAUAUGGAGCCAGUCCCCCCAGGAGGAAGCAAAGAAGAGGCUGUGUGGAGUGCCCCCACCCCCGACCGGCCCCUCUUGAUGCUGCUUUAUAGAGAGAAUCUGCUUCACAGGCAAUGUGGGGGCCCCCGCACUUCAGAGGGCCCUCCCAGAAAGCUCCGGGCUGUGGGUCCCUAGAUGGCGGGCCCUUGACGCACAGAAGAAGCAAACGGGAAGGGGGGAUGGAGGGGUCCAGGGAGAGCAGUAGAGGGGGAAACAGCCCGGGGCAGAGAGUCACUGUGAGGAGAUUCGGCUCUAUAUGUAACUGCCGUGUUUGAGCUCUACUACACAACAUCGGGGAUUAGUGUGGUAUGCCAUAGCCCUACCCAUAGCCAAAGCAUUAACCACAACCAUAACUGUAUCCGUAACAUCAGCCAUAACCCCAACAUUAACCAUGACUGUCAGGAUCGCUCCCUGUCCUGCCCCCUUUUAGUUAUGUCCGUCAGUUCCCUGUUUGGCCAGCGGGUGUCGCUGGUCAUCCCCUUCUGUCUUCCCGCUGUUUCCUGCAGUUAGCACCCUAAUGUGUUUACCUGUUCCCUGGGCCACCGCGUAGCCUAAUGGGCUGAGAGGGUCAUCAAGGCUUCUCUUUUGUUGCAGGUUCGAGGCUGGUCAGAGGUCUCAGCUAUGUUUGAUGAAAUCCUUGUUAAGUUUAUUUAAGUGCCCUUACGUUGUUCCCCAGCUGGUUAUUAUGUGUUUCCAGAUGUUGUUGCCCCAUGUUUGGUGCUGCUGCUGCUCCCCUGUUCUUGUUCCUGUUGCCCCUUUGUUCUUGAUGUGUUCCUGGUUGUUUUUCACCGCUCAUGGUGCCUUUGGUUUCUUGUGUUUUUCUCUUGAGUAAUUAAAUCACCAUGUCCUUCCGUCGCAGAAAGAUUAGCCAUAACCCUAGCCGUAGCCAAAACAUUAACUAGCGCCAUAAACUUUGCAUAAAUUUAACCAAAAUCCCAACAGUAACCAUAAACUUAAUCUAGCAGGAAACUGAUCCGGCAGCAUUUCUGGUUCCUUAACCGCUCCUGGCCAGCCUGCCAGAUUCCCUCACACGUCCACGGCUUGUCGGUACCUCUCGGGGAGAACAUCUCAGGUCAAGUUUCCAUGGAGAUGAGUGGGAAGGGUGCCCCCUCUGGCACGGGGCUGUGAUCUCCGCCCCGCACGUUCCCAUAGCCACAGCCCGCCGCUUCUGCGGAUCACACGAUGCCUCACUGACUGCAACACGACCCGUCAGUCAGCGGUGCUUUGAAAACGCAAUCAAAGUCUUACAGUCUCCCCUAGGCAGUGCGAGAGUGGGGGGCACUUUUAAUUUGACAGAAACUGGUCCCCCACUACACACAUAAUUGUGAGGAGAUGUGGGGCUGGGGGGGGGGUGUACAGGGUUAAAAAUAUAAGGAUCCUAUAGACAGAACCCUGGCAGUUUUACCCCAGUAUCUGUGGGACAGUAAGCUCAUUCUCACCACACGCCAUAACUAAGGUAGCCUUCUACAAAAGUUUCCAUAUAAGCUACCAAAUAUGGUACAGCGACAGGCUGGGGAGCAUGAACACCAGCCUGUAACGUGUUCAGGGUUCAGUGGCGAGAUGCUGACGUUCAGGCACGGAGCGGCGAAUCCUUCCGAAAGGCCACUCGCCCGUGCCGCGUGGGAAUAGAGCAGAGUCUUUGGAGAGUACUGCCACAUCAGCCCCCCCCUCGCCCCCACCAUCCCGCCGCUGUCGAUCUCGCAUGGAGGAGGCUUGGCUGAGAGACCCUCCCCCAUGAAUAAUGAAAAGCAGCGAGUCAGCGCCAAAUUUCGCCCACAUUUAAAGUUG